AACAUUCUCAUCAAGUUGGUCCACCAUGCAAGCGCCGGAAGUUGAGGUUUUGCUUCUGAAUUUUCAGACAGAGAAAUACUCGUUGCCUGAGUUCAUAGAAAGAAUGAAUAAGCUAAAAGUUUUAGUACUUCACAAUUAUGGGUUCGUUCCAGCUGAAUUGAGCAAUUUCCCACUUCUUGGUUCUUUAUCAAAUCUUAAGAGAAUAAGGCUGGAAAAGGUUUCCAUCCCAUCCCUUUUCUUGACUUCAAUGAAAUGGAGGAAGCUAGAAAAGAUGUCCUUGGUUAUGUGCAAUAUUGAUCAAGCUUUUAAUAAAUCUACCAACAAGAUUUCGGAUGCUUUCCCAAAGUUAGUCGACCUCACCAUUGACUACUGCAAUGAUCUGGAGGAAUUGCCAACAGGAUUCUGUGAUCUUGUCUUGCUAAGAAAGCUCAGUAUCACAAAUUGUCAUAAGCUUUUGGCACUGCCAGAGGACAUGGGAAAUUUACUUGAUUUGGAGGUCCUAAGGCUCAACUCCUGCAUCGAAUUGACAGGGUUACCGGGCACAAUCGGUAGACUUCAUAAGUUGCAGAUUCUUGACUUAUCCGAAUGUCUGAGUGUAACAGAAUUGCCAGAACAGAUCGGUCAGUUGCAUGAUCUGAGAAAGCUCUACAUGAUAGAGUGCUCAAGUUGUGAAUUGCCAUCAUCAGUUGAGAAUCUUGUCCGCCUAAAAGAAGUAAUAGGCGAUCAAGAAACUGCCAUGUCAUGGAAUCGUUUCAAACCCUGCCUUCCAUCUCUGACGAUAAAGGUACAUAAGGAAAACAACUUGAACUGGCUUGGGUAGCCAUUGCUGUUUUCUGAUAAUGAUUAUUCUCCAAGAAUUCUGACGAGCCUUUAAUUUGUAAUGAUGUCAUUGUGCUUUUCUUUAAUGCAAAGAAAGAAGGUGUGAUUCUGUAAAUUGUUAGUAGCCAUUUUUCCUUGCAAAAAGAGGUUUCCUCAUAAACCCAAAACGCAGCUUGCCAGCAAUUUCUACGAGCUGAAAUUUUUUACUAGAUUUGAUGGAUUUUUGGUUUGAGGAUUAUCAUAGAAUCCAUUUGGACGAGCUUAUUUGAAUUGAUGAAGUAAAAUGAAUAAAAAGCUCUCAUGUUCUAUUUUUAGAGAGUAGGAGAUUUGACAUGCUUUUUUAUUAGAAAAUAAUAUAAAUCAUAUCAUGGAACCUCACUUAAUAAUUUAAAUUAUUGGGUUGAGAUGGUCCUUUAACAUGGUAUCAAAGCCUUGAUGAUCAAGUAGUCACGAGUUCGAAUCACACCAUCCCUAUUUAUUUGAUAAAAAUCAAGCACAAGGUAAUGUGAAUCCCACCAUCCCAAAAAAUAUAUAUUUUUUAAAAUAUAUAUAUAUAUAUAUAUCCUUCAACAAUUUAAUUUUUUUUUCUUUCUAUUAGUUUAUAUAUCGAUCUUAUGAAUUUUUUUUAUUUCAACUUUCAACAUUAGAUAUUUUGAAAGAAAGGUUUCGUAAUAUUUUUCAAUUAUUUUUUUAUGAAUUUAUCUCAAUCUCAUGGUUUAAGUCAUUGAUUUAACAAGUUAACCUAAGAUGAUUGAAGGUUUUUUUGCUGAUUUUUCUAAUUAAUUUAUUUUAUUUCAUCCUUCAACAUUGAGUUGAUUUAGAAUUGAGCUUCGUAAAUUUUUAUUCAAUUUUCUUUCUAUAAAGUUAUCUCGAUCUCAUGACAUGGUAUCAAAGCCUUGAUGAUCAAGUAGUCACGAGUUCGAAUCACAUCAUCCCUAUUUAUUUGAUAAAAAUCAAGCACAAGGUAAUGUGAAUCCCACCAUCCCAAAGGGCUUUCACUUGAGGGGGUGUGUUAGGGAAUAAUAUAAGUCAUAUCCUAGAACCUCACCUAAUAGUUUAAGCUAUCGGAUUGAGAUGAUUCCUUUGACACCUUUCAGGGGGAACAAUCAGUACAUAGAUUAGCUUGCUAAUUACAGCCAUAGACUGGUAGGGGUGGGAGGGUGUAUUCUAAUGCCGAAACCCCAUAUGGUCUUUAAUUUUUUUUAAAAAAAAAAACACUAAACGAAAUGGCUAAAUUGCAUAGCCAUUAGGUUUUGUUUUUUAAAAAAUAUAUAUAUCCUUCAACAGUUUAAUUUUUUUUUCUUUCUAUUAGUUUAUAUAUCGAUCUUAUGAAUUUUUUUUAUUUCAACUUUCAACAUUAGAUAUUUUAAAAGAAAGGUUUCAUAAUAUUUUUCAAUUAUUUUUUUAUGAAUUUAUCUCAAUCUCAUGGUUCAAGUCGUUGAUUUAACAAGUUAACCUGAGAUGAUUGAAGGUUUUUUUGCUGAUUUUUCUAAUUAAUUUAUUUUAUUUUAUCCUUCAACAUUGAGUUGAUUUAGAAUUGAGCUUCGUAAAUUUUUAUUCAAUUUUCUUUCUAUAAAGUUAUCUCGAUCUCAUGACUUGAAUUAUAAGUUUGACAGGUUGGCCUGUGUUAACUUAGUUAAUUUUUACGGGUCUUUUUUAUUUGAUUUUUUUUCAAUUUCACCCUCCAACAACCAAAACUUCUUCUUCUUUUUUUAGUUUUUUUUUUCAAUUUUAUCCUUCAAUAUUAAGUUAUUUGAGAAUUAGGUUUUGUUUAAUUUACUUUUUAUGAGGUUAUUUGGUCUCAUGGAUUUAAUGUUUUGUUCUUUUUUUAUUUUUUUUAAAAUUCAUCCUUAAACAUUGAAUUAAUUAGGAAUUGACCUUUAUAAUUUAAAUUGAUUUGUUUUUUUUAUAGAAUUAUUACGGUCUGAUGACCCAAAUCACAAAUUUGAGUGGUUAAUUCGGAUCGAUCUUAUAUGUUAUUAUCUUAAUAUUUUUUAAAACAAAGGACAACCAACAUGUCAUUGUAUUAAAUUAAAAAAAAAAUUCGUUCAAUAUGUAUCAUAUUUUGAGUUCAUGAUUUUUUUAUUAUAAAACAUGUUAUUAAUACUUAGAUAAUUGUUUAUAUAAAAAAAUGAUCUGACCCACAAUGUAGCAUGAGCCGAUUAUCCAAGUAACAACUAGAUAUUGUAAUUCCCCCUUCAUAAUUUGCUAGUCCCAUCUCAUAAUCUCUCUUUAAUUAAUAAAAUAAAAUAUGAAAAAAUACUCUUAGUUAUAUUAUUCACAAAUGAUGAUAAUAAAUGUUUUCUUGUGUUUACAUCUAUAUAUUUAAUAGGUAAAAGUCGAAAGAUAUUCACAUUUUUACCUUUGUUUUAAUCAUUUCCUAUCAUGAAAUUCAAUUUCUUUGAACAAACGUUUUUUUGGUCAUACUAUAUUUGUUUUUCAUAAAAGCAUUCUUUGUGUUUUAAAAUAUUAUUUUCCAAUAAAAUAUUUCUUUCAAAAACUAUAAUUGAAUAAAUUGAGAUUUUUUGAAAAUUAAAUUUUUAUACACUUGUUUUUUAUUUACAGUAAUUAUGAAGUUUAAUAAUUAAAAAAAUUAGUUUUCAAAGAUAAUUGAUUUGGUGAAAAUAAUGCACUCCGUAUUUAUAUGAAAGAUAAGGAUAAUAUAGUCUACCAAUAAACUUUGUAAUAAAUAUGAUGUUAAAAUAAUAAUUCAUGGAAUGAAAAUAUCACUACCUUUAUAACUAAUUUAAUUAUAGUAUUAAAUUUGCAUUUUAAUUAAUAAAUAAAUUAAGUUUGCAUAUUUAAAAGAGACAUUCUAUCACUUAAUUCAAUUCAUUUUAUUUUUUAUAUUACUAUCAUCACUGCAAAAUUACCUAAAAAUUCAAAUCCAAAUAUCUUUCAAUAAGAUCUUAUUUUCUUAUAGAGAUCAAAUAAUAUGACAGAAGAGAAUUUGUUGUGAUUUAAGUGCAUUCAAGAGAUGGAUGUUAAGGUCUAGAUCUAUUAAAAUAAAAUCUAAUCGAAGUGAAUGUGUGCGCAUUAUCUAUCUCCUGGAAUUUGACAUCUCUGGGAGUUUUUUCUGCUGAGACUGCUAGGGAAUUUCUCAGGAAGAAAGGGAAGAGAGAUGGAUGGUUCCUACUUUUGUGGGGUACUUUCCAUGUCCUAAGGCAAACUGUCGUAGGUUGGCCUGUAUUCUUUGAUAGAUUAACAAACAAGAAAAGGCAAAUCAAGUUGGUGUAGUUCUACUGCUGCAGUCUGCAGAUAGCAAAAUUUUCAACUCAGUGGCGUUUGAAGAAUGGGAUGUCGAGUCUUGUGGGGCCAAAGGAAAGUUGCAGGAAAAGGAUUCAAGUCUGGUGUCAUGAGAGUUUCUUGGUGUUUUUUAAUUUUCUUAACGUGGAAGGAAUGAAAUCGAAGGCCUCGAGAUGCUGUCAAGUUUUGAAAACUAAGGUUGUUUGGUGUUGUGUUUUGGAAAUGUUUUUGAAAAAAAGUUACAAAUUUUUAUUUUUUUUUCAAAUUAAUUUUUUUUUUUCAAAUUAAUAUGUUUUUGAUCUCUUGUUGUUAAAGAUAAUUUUUAAAAAAAUAAAAAAAAAUUAUUUUAAUAUGUUUUGAAAUGAAAAGUACUUUUGUAAAAUAGUCGCUACCAUACUCUCAAACACACUUAGUUAUAACAAAAAAUUGCUAACAAAGAAAAAUCGUCUUUGGUGUAGCAAAAGGUUGCUAACAAAGAAAAAUGAGAUCCUUCCCACUCAUACGGGUAAUAACUAGGUUCUCUAGUUUUCUUUUGUAUAAAUUAGAAAUUUAAAAACUAUCCAUGUAUUUUAUUCUUAAGUAACCAUAUAACAUGAAACUAAUAAUAUCCUCCUUGUAUUUUGUGUUUGGAAUACUAGAUUAUAUUAUUUUGUAUUUUUUAUGGUGUUUGGAAACCUCAAAUAAUAAAGUCAAUAACUUUAAAAAACAAUUACAAUAAAUAAAAGAAUAAACAUUAAAUUCCAAGAACAAGUGUUUUUGUUCUUGUUUUGGUAUGAUAAACACUCUAGGAUUUAAAAAUAUUAUUGUCUAAAGAAUAGAAAUUGUCGACCCCUUGAUGAUUCAUGAGAUAUUUAUAGCUUAGAAAUCUUAUUCUUUAGUUUGAAUAGAGGGGCUGAAAUGUAAUAUUAUCCUGAUAGCAUCAAUGAUGGAUAAAUAUAUAUUAUAUAAACAAUAAUAAAAAACAAAUAUCUCUUAAACAUACAUUAACAAUAUAUAAAUAUCUCUAGCUUUAACACUUUAUGUUAAAAGUCAUUAGAAUAGCCGAAUAAAGUCUUACGAUCCAAAAUAAAGCCUAUAAUGUUUUAUAGGCCUUUUGUUAUUUAUGCUUAGAACGCUGCCAAACCCAUGAUCAAUGGGUAUUGUAAUGAGUUUUACACAUGUCCAUUUGAGUUUGGCACGUAACUAAACUUGAGCUAAACCCAUGCCAUCCGGACUAAGUAUUUUAUCAAAUCUAUAAAUGUUGGGUAUAGACGCGAGACCUGCCUACUUUUGAAGGCAUUAUUAUCUUGCAUUUGAAUCUUUGAAAUAGAAACUUAGGCCCGACAAAAUAUAGAUCCAUCACUAUUAUUAUUUUUCUUGUACAAGACAGAGACUAAAGAAAAAUGAAUUUUAAAAUAUCUUAAGCUUUUCAUAUUUUAUUACUAGUUUGAAUAUGAAUCACUUACACUUUUAUAUCCUUUCAAUAUAAUCAAAUUGUGAAGAGCUUAUUGAAAUUAUUAAAAAUAUUCACAAUGAUAUUACUAAGAAAUCACACUUCAACUUUAUUGGAUCAAUAUUUUUCAAAAAAUAGAGAAAUGAUAUAUAUAACUAUAGUUUAGUCCUAAAAUUUUAUCUUAACACAAACAAGUUAAUAUAAUAAAAAUUUUACUAUCUUCUAUGAUGCUAUAAUGUGUUUGCCAUUGCAAUCUUCAAAAAAUACUUGCACGGUUAUAAAGUACAAUUUUAUUUUUUAAUUCAAAAAAAGUGCAUUCUCAUUAUUUAUUCAAAUUGGGAUAAAAAAAUCAUUAUUAUAAAAUAGGACAUAAAAGAUAUAAAUAGUUACUAAAACUCAUAAUUCGGAUUAUGGACCCCACUAGGUUUAGAAAAAAAAUUAUUUAUUUUUAUUUAAUAACAUGAUAACAGAAAUAAACACUUGUAAAAUUAAGUAUUUAUCAAAUAGUUAAUUUUUCAUAUCUUUAAGGAAUACUUCUUAAAUUCUAAGUUUUAAUAUAUAUUUAUGACCUCAAAAAAAAAUUAAUCUUAUGGUGAUUACAAUAAAAUAUUUUGAAGCAGAGAUAUGAAUAAGUUGAGGUCUUUACUUGAAUUUAAUAUAAAUAAAUGAAUCUAUUAUAUAAUAUAUAUGAUUGAAAUUUCUAAACUUGUUUAUUAAAUUGAUGAGAUAUAGAUUUACUAAUGAUUUUUGGCUGAGUUUUAAAAGAAAAAGCACGUGUUGCAUGGGAUAUUUAAAGAUUAAAAUGGAGAAAAUCUAAUAAAAAUAGUGUCAAUAAAACACCAUAAACAUUUAAGGCAUGUAUAUUUCAUGGAAAGUGGUUUUUUUUUAUAAACUAUUUUUAAAAUUGUUUUAUGUUUAUUUAAUAUUAAAAAAUUUAAUCAGUAAAAAAAAAAUUUCAGUAAAAAAAAAAUUGACUUGUUUUUUUAGGAAAAUAAUAUUUUUAUAAGUUGUAAAAACUUAAAAAUAUCUUUUUAUUUAUUAAAUAUAUCAAAUUAAGUUGUGAUCUUUUAAUUGUUGUAUAUUUUAUGUUUAUUUUUUUAAAAUUUUAUUCUUUAAAAUUCAAUAUAAUAUGAUUUGAUUUUUAUAUAACUUUAAUCCUUGUUGUUUUUUUAUAAUUGAAAUUAGAAAAGAUAAUUAUUGGAGUUGUCAAUAAAAAAAUGCCAACGUUACACGGGGAUUUCUCAGAAAGAAAGGGAAGAGAGGUGGAUGGUUCAUACUUUUGUGGGGUAUGUCGAGUCCUGUGGGGCCAAAGGAAAGUUGCAGGAAACGGAUUCAAGUCUGGUGUCAUGAGAGUUGCUUGGUGUUUUUUAAUUUUCUUAAUUUGGAAGGAAUGAAAUCGAAGACCUCAAGAUGCUGUCAAGUUUUGAAAACGUAAGGUUUGUUGGUAUUGUGUUUUGGAAAUGUUUUUUAAAAAAAAUUAAUUUUUUUUAAAAAAAUUAAUAUGUUUUUUUUUCUUCAAAUUAAUAUAUUUUUGAUAUUUUUAAAAUAUAAAAUUAUUAUUUUAAUAUGUUUUGAGAUAAAAAAUACUUUAUAAAGUAAUUAUUAUCAUACUCUCAAAUAUGACAAAGAAAAAUCCUUUUAGGUGCAGCAAAAAGUUGCUAACAAAGAAAAUGAGAUCCUUCCGACUCAUGUCACACGAGUAAUAUCAAGUUUUUUUUGUUUUUUUUUUUGUAUAAAUUAGAAUUUUAAAAAUUAUCUAUGUAUUUUAUUCUUAAGUAACCAUAUAACACAAAACGUAAUAAUAUCCUCUUUUUAUUUUGUGUUUGGAAUACUAGAUUACAUUAUUUUGUAUUUUUUAUGGUGUUUGGGACCCUCAAAUAAUCUUUUGGUGAACGUUGUUUCUUAGAAAUCCAGAAGCAUAUAUUUCAUUAACUUUGUCCUGAUAUAUAUAUAUAUAUAUAUAUAUAUAUAUAUAGAGAGAGAGAGAGAGAGAGAGAGAGAGAGAGAGAGAGAGAACCAUCCUUCAUCUUGAAGAAUUUAUUUAUUAUAAAGUUGGAAAGAGUCUAGGGAGUGAAAGUUCGAUGCUCUGACGAGGAAGCUGCCAUGAAAUUCCUCAUUGCAAGCUGCUCUGACGGGCAACAAAAGUUGGAAAGAUGCCUCGACAGUUGACUUGACUUAACUGUAGCAGUAAUUUUUUUACAAAAGUUUGAUUGAAUUAAAAAAUAUAUAUAAAUGCACUAAAAAAACACUAUCCUAAGUCUUUGAGCUAACGGAAUCCUUCAGGUCUUCAACUCCGGUGAAAGGUAACUCGGUCCUUAAGCCUUUAAAAUUCUUGAUUUGGACCUUGUGUUCUUCUCUUUAUGAAAUGUCACCCCCAAGUUCUAUGUAUCUACAAAUUAAAAUCUACACAUCUCACAAUCUUAUGGGUCCCCCACAUGAGAUUUAAUUUGUUAAUAAAUUAAACCAUGAAAGAAGGGCUGUCAAGGACCAAUGUCACAAACUUUAAAGAUUAGGGACGAAGUUUCUUUUGAUCAAAACUUCAGGGGAGGUUUGAAUCAAUUAGUUUUCAAUAUAUGUAUAAAGGAACAGAGAAACAACUAAAAUAAGAGAAUUACAUUAUGGUCACCAAUCAAAAAAUAAUUUAAGGUUGAAAAGUCAAUCCUCUCAAGUCCACACACUUUACACAUCAUCAACACAAGAAAUUAGAAAACUAGCAUAUAAUGAUGCUUUACUUCGUUUCUCAAGAAAGAAAACACGAUAGGAAAUCGAGUGCCCCGGAAAAGAUUUCCAUCUACCCAAAACAGCCCAGAAACCAUUUUCCUCUGAACUUCAGUUCCUCACUAGUUGUUGUACAAAAUUCAGCUGGUUUUUCUUUGUGAAAAAGAAGCCAUGGCAGGUCAAGUUGUGAUAUCAGCAGUUGCUGGGGCUGGUUUCCAGAUGAUUUUUGGUGAUUUCACAGAGGUGGUUUUAGAAGCACUGAAAAACAACUCCCAGUUCAAGCCAAGCUUGAAGCGCCUAGCGGAUAUGUUAGAAGAAAUGGCUCCAAAUAUCAAGAGAAUAGAGUCUUUCAACAGAGAGCUUGAUCAACCAAAGCAACUUGAAGGGCUCAAAGGAUUAAUGAAAAAAGGCAAUGAUUUAGUCUCUAAAUGCUCAAAAAUCCAUAAAUACAACUAUUAUAAGAGGCCUCUUUAUAACAAGAAACUUCUCAAGUUGGGGAAGGAUAUUCGUGAUCAUAUUACCCGUUUGCAACUUCAGGGAAUAGCAGAUACAAAAGAGAUUUUGCAUACUCAAAGACAGUUAAAUGAUCAAAUCGGGAAGUUAAGCAUGACUCUAAGCAAUGGUGGUAGGGUGGAUUCAAGCAAGAGCUAUAGUAAUACUAUUUUAGCUGGUGUGUGCUCGCCUCCUCUACUGAAAGUGGAUCCUGUUGGAUUGGAGAUUCCAUUGAGUGAUUUGAGGAUAAAGCUGCUUAAUGACGAGACAUCACAGCAUAUAGUGUUAUCUGCUCCUGGAGGAUGUGGAAAGACAACAUUGGCUACAGCACUUUGUCAACAUGGGGAUGUUAAAGGUACACAUAUACUACUUGAGAGUUCUUUUGACUACCUCCUUUUGUCUUUCUAUUCUUCUGCUUAUUUUUGGUCCGGCUAUUUGUAUCCAUUUUUUUUAUGGUCAGAGAGUGUUUGAGUUGGUACACCUGUUAUAAAGGUUCUAUGAUCAUGUUAGGCGAACAAUUUUUCAAACAGAAUAGGGUAUCUGAACAAAGUUGAGCUUUAGUGCCCGAAAAGGUUUCAUUAUGUUUUUUAUUUGUAUCCUUUCGUUUUUCUGGUUUAAUGUGUAUCUCUAUUAAGGUUCAUGUACAUUCUCUUGUUGAAUUAUUCAUUUUUUAAGAAAUAAAAACAUAGAGACUUGUGUUUCUGCAGAAUUGUGGGGCUGUUAUUGAUUGAAAUAAGCAAAUGUAUGACAUUUUAGACACAGUUCAUUACUUGGAACUCUUUGGCAGAGUAAAUGAAGCAAUUCCCAUAUUUUGCUUUUAGUUUUUCUGAGGAUUAGAAUUUGGAGUUCCACACUUAGGCUCUUGUAUCCGUUUUGAUUUAGCUAUAUGUGAAAACAUAAGAAUUGCUGAAGAAAUUUCAUUACAGCGUUCUUCUUUUCCGACUUUUCAGAUAAAUUCAAGAGCAAUAUCUUCUUUGUCAGCGUUCCAAAGCUGCGCAACCUGAUGGUCAUUGUGAAGAUGAUAUUCCAGCAUAAAGAAAUUGAGUUACCUGAUUUUCGAAGUGAAGAAGAUGCAGCUAACCAUUUGGAACGUUUGUUCCAGCAGAUAGGACCAGAUCCAAUAUUAUUGGUCCUUGAUGAUGUUUGGCCCGAAUCGCAAUCUAAUCUUGACAAGCUCAAAUUCCGAAUAGAAAAUUACAAGAUUUUGGUGACAUCAAGAUAUGAAUUUCCAAGUUUUGGAUCCACAUAUAAAUUGAAAACAUUGAAUCUUGCAGAUGCCAUGACCCUUUUUCAGAAAUUGGCAUUUCCAUUGGAUCAGCAGUCAUAUGCUCCAGAUCAGCAAAUUCUAGAGGAGGUGAUUUAUCAACCUGCAAUUAUUAAUGCUUAUUUGCUCAUUUUUAUUUGGUUUUCACCUUCUACAUAAAUACAAAUUAGUGAACAAAUAUUCUCUGUCCAAUAUUGUGACUCUCUGAUUUAGCAUGCACUUGUGCUUACUUGUUUGUUGUCUUAUCAAGUGCUACCAGAAGUUCAAAUAAAAAUUCUGAAACCAUGUGUUUUGAAUCUGUAAAUUUACUCCAGGGACGAUAUCUUACAAUUUUGCAACUAUAGAAAAGAAAAGAAAAACGUCCAUUUUACACCUUUAAGAAACCAUCGAUGAGUUUACACAAUGGAACUUUAUUUUUAGUUUGUUACUGCCCACCAACCUGCAAGGAUUGACUGAUUUUUGUCAUGGCACUGAAUUGCAGAUGGUAAAAUACUGCAGGGGAUUUCCUCUAGUCAUUUCAGUGGUUGGAAAAUCUUUGUGCCGGAAGUCCGCUGCAGAAUGGCGUAAGAGACAUAGGGAAUGCUCUAAACCUGCUUCUAUUCUUUCUGACAAUGAAAUUCUCGAUUGUCUUCAAAGCAGUGUGGAAGCCUUGACUGAUAAUGUAGAAGCCAAGGAAUGUUUCAUGGACCUUGGUUCAUUCCCUGAAGACCAGAGGAUUCCUGCCACUACCCUUAUUGAUAUGUGGGCAGAAUUGUAUAACCUAGAUGAGGACAACGCCAUUGCCAAUCUCCACGAACUCUCUGAUAGGAAUCUGAUUGAAGUUGUUGUUACAAGGUAUGAUAGCUAUGAACCCUAUUGACAUUAUCAUGGCCAGGGUAUUUAUUCUAGUAAUAGUAUGUGGAAUCUUCACAUAAACAUUGAUUCUACGAAUAUCAUAUGGAUCCUACUACCACAUGGACCUUUAUAUAUAAAAUGAGCUAUCCUUGAAAAUAUUAGAAGAACAAAACCAUUACCAACUGGUUUAUGGGUGUUAAAAUAAUUGGUUUUCGUUUUGGGUUUCGCCGAUGGAUGACCAGCUUCAACUGCUAUGAUUGCAACUUUUGAUGGUCAUUAGAACUCCACUUGUGUUAUUCAUUUCAAUUAACUUGUGUGCUAUUAGUAGCUAACUUGUCAAGAGUGUGAGUCUCUAAGCAAUCAACUGCUGUGAUUCACCAGGAAAGAUGCAAACGAAGACGAUGGCUCCUAUAAUGAGCAUUUUGUCACGCAGCAUGACCUGCUCAGGGAGCUGGCCAUCCGUGGAAGCAACUCAGGAAACAUUGAGCACAGGAAACGAGUAUUAUUGGAGAUAAUUGAAAAUAAAAUCCCUGAGUGGUUGAUGGAACAAGAUCAGCUAUCAAUCAGGGCCAAACUCUUAUCUAUCUCAACAGGUUAUUAAUCCCUAUUAUUUUCUUAAUACAAAGAUAGCCUGGCCUCUGCGCACAUGCAUGCGCACAAGCAUCAAACAUACGCAACCAAUUCUUAAUUAUUAUUUUUUGUAUUUUGAUCACCUUGUUUGCAGAUGAAAAAUUCUCAUCAAGUUGGUCCACCAUGCAAGCGCCGGAAGUUGAGGUUUUACUUCUGAAUUUGCGGACAGAGAAAUUCUCAUUGCCUGAGUUCAUAGAAAGAAUGAAUAAGCUAAAAGUUUUAGUACUUCACAAUUAUGGGUUCGUUCCAGCUGAAUUGAGCAAUUUCCCACUUCUUGGUUCUUUAUCAAAUCUAAAGAGAAUAAGGCUGGAGAAGGUUUCCAUCCCAU
rnacentral:lncRNA from 1 species